UUCUCGCUUCCUCUCACUGCUGCUCAUCGCAGGAUUCAUCUCAUUGUCCUUCUCUGUAGGUCUCUACCUCAGGUUCUUCUAUCAUCUUUUUGUUGAGGUAAAGCUUCAAAAUGAGUAUGAGCCUUUCAUAAAUGGAAGAAAGAUCAUUAUGAGACAUCUGUCUGAUCCUGAGUAAAGCAUGGUGAAAGCCUACUGAGAAUCUGGAGCUAAACACUAAUCCAACGAGUGAAGUCAUCUGCAACAACACAUCCUGUAGCUAAAAUACUGCUAAUAAUAUUUACUCUUAACCCCAAAAGUGAAACAAAGAACAUGUAAAUCCUAAAAUAAAAUAAAGCAAGGAGUUCUCUAGUAGAGGUCAUCUGUUUACAGUGAAAUCUUAAAUGUUGAGUUCAUGCAGAAAAA